rnacentral:rRNA from 1 species
UAGGGAAUCUUCCACAAUGGACGCAAGUCUGAUGGAGCAACGCCGCGUGAGUGAAGAAGGUUUUCGGACCGUAAAGCUCUGUUGUUGGUGAAGAAGGAUAGAGGUAGUAACUGGCCUUUAUUUGACGGUAAUCAACCAGAAAGUCACGGCUAACUACGUGCCAGCAGCCGCGGUAAUACGUAGGUGGCAAGCGUUGUCCGGAUUUAUUGGGCGUAAAGCGAGCGCAGGCGGAAGAAUAAGUCUGAUGUGAAAGCCCUCGGCUUAACCGAGGAAUUGCAUCGGAAACUGUUUUCUUGAGUGCAGAAGAGGAGAGUAGAACUCCAUGUGUAGCGGUGGAAUGCGUAGAUAUAUGGAAGAAUACCAGUGGCGAAGGCGGCUCUCUGGUCUGCAAACUGACGCUGAGGCUCGAAAGCAUGGGUAGCGAACAGGAUUAGAUACCCUGGUAGUCCAUGCCGUAAACGAUGAGUGCUAAGUGUUGGGAGGCUUCCGCCUCUCAGUGCUGCAGCUAACGCAUUAAGCACUCCG